AGGGAUAGCCAUAACAUCCCGAAUGAAUCUGAUCUCUUCUGAUCUCGGAAGCUAAGCAGGAUGGAGCCUGGUUAGUAUUUGGAUGGCAAGAGGGAUGAACUCAAACCCAACCAGGACUCUGUUCAAG
rnacentral:rRNA from 1 species